AGCAGCCGCGGUAAUUCCAGCUCCAAUAGCGUAUAUUAAAGUUGUUGCAGUUAAAAAGCUCGUAGUUGAAUUUCGGAAUUUUUUAUCGGUUGAAUCAACAGGUUCGUACUGAUUUUAAGGAUUUCUACCUUCUGGAGAACCUUAAUGUCAUUUAUUUGGUGUUUUGGGAAACCAGGACUGUUACCUUGAAAAAUUAGAGUGUUUAAAGCAGGCUUAUGUCUGAAUAUAUUAGCAUGGAAUAAUGAAAUAGGACGGCAUGGUUCUAUUUUGUUGGUUUCUAGGAUCACCGUAAUGAUUAAUAGGGAUAGUUGGGGGCAUUAGUAUUCAAUUGUCAGAGGUGAAAUUCUUGGAUUUAUUGAAGACUAACUUCUGCGAAAGCAUUUGCCAAGGAUGUUUUCAUUAAUCAAGAACGAAAGUUAGGGGAUCGAAGACGAUCAGAUACCGUCGUAGUCUUAACCAUAAA
rnacentral:rRNA from 1 species